rnacentral:misc_RNA from 1 species
GAUGAAGAACGUAGCGAAAUGCGAUAAGUAAUGUGAAUUGCAGAAUUCAGUGAAUCAUCGAAUCUUUGAACGCACAUUGCGCCCGCCAGUAUUCUGGCGGGCAUGCCUGUUCGAGCGUCAUUUCAACCCUCAAGCCCCCGGGCUUGGUGUUGGGGAUCGGCGUGCCCUCGCGGCGCGCCGUCCCCUAAAUCUAGUGGCGGUCUCGCUGUAGCUUCCUCUGCGUAGUAGCAACACUCGCACUGGAUCGCAGCGCGGCCACGCCGUUAAACCCCUCACUUCUGAAAGUUUGACCUCGGAUCAGGUAGGAAUACCCGCUGAACUUAAGCAUAUCAAUAAGCGGAGGA